AUUGAACGCUGGCGGCAUGCCUUACACAUGCAAGUCGAACGGCAGCACGGGUGCUUGCACCUGGUGGCGAGUGGCGAACGGGUGAGUAAUACAUCGGAACAUGUCCUGUAGUGGGGGAUAGCCCGGCGGAAGCCGGAUUAAUACCGCAUACGAUCCACGGAUGAAAGCGGGGGACCUUCGGGCCUCGCGCUAUAGGGUUGGCCGAUGGCUGAUUAGCUAGUUGGUGGGGUAAAGGCCUACCAAGGCGACGAUCAGUAGCUGGUCUGAGAGGACGACCAGCCACACUGGGACUGAGACACGGCCCAGACUCCUACGGGAGGCAGCAGUGGGGAAUUUUGGACAAUGGGCGAAAGCCUGAUCCAGCAAUGCCGCGUGUGUGAAGAAGGCCUUCGGGUUGUAAAGCACUUUUGUCCGGAAAGAAAUCCUUGGCUCUAAUACAGUCGGGGGAUGACGGUACCGGAAGAAUAAGCACCGGCUAACUACGUG
rnacentral:rRNA from 1 species